rnacentral:rRNA from 1 species
GGAAGAUUAAUACAAGAUGGCAUCAUGAGUCCGCAUGUUCACAUGAUUAAAGGUAUUCCGGUAGACGAUGGGGAUGCGUUCCAUUAGAUAGUAGGCGGGGUAACGGCCCACCUAGUCUUCGAUGGAUAGGGGUUCUGAGAGGAAGGUCCCCCACAUUGGAACUGAGACACGGUCCAAACUCCUACGGGAGGCAGCAGUGAGGAAUAUUGGUCAAUGGGCGAGAGCCUGAACCAGCCAAGUAGCGUGAAGGAUGACUGCCCUAUGGGUUGUAAACUUCUUUUAUAAAGGAAUAAAGUCGGGUAUGGAUACCCGUUUACAUGUACUUUAUGAAUAAGGAUCGGCUAACUCCGUGCCAGCAGCCGCGGUAAUACGGAGGAUCCGAGCGUUAUCCGGAUUUAUUGGGUUUAAAGGGAGCGUAGAUGGAUGUUUAAGUCAGUUGUGAAAGUUUGCGGCUCAACCGUAAAAUUGCAGUUGAUACUGGAUAUCUUGAGUGCAGUUGAGGCAGGCGGAAUUCGUGGUGUAGCGGUGAAAUGCUUAGAUAUCACGAAGAACUCCGAUUGCGAAGGCAGCCUGCUAAGCUGCAACUGACAUUGAGGCUCGAAAGUGUGGGUAUCAAACAGGAUUAGAUACCCUGGUAGUCCACGCAGUAAACGAU